ensembl:rRNA 5S_rRNA 5S ribosomal RNA
GUCUACAGCCAUGCCGCCCUGAACAAGCCCAAUCCUCUCUGAUCUCAGAAGCUAAGCAGGGUCGGGUCUGGUUUAGUACUUGGAUGGGAGACCACCUACGAAGACCAGAUGCUGUAGGCG